GGUGAGUAUUAAACAUACAAAAACAAAAGGCUGACUGUUUAGCAUGUUUAAGACAAUACAAUAAUAAGCAAAAUGCUAUGAAUAUCAUACCAUUUGUGAUGUUAUUAAUAUUGUGCUCAUAUUUGCAUAUUAAAUAAAAUAAACACUUUUCAUGUCAAAUUAACUUGUCUUCUGUUUCAGCUGCUGUGUAUUCGACCCCCUACAUAACAGUUCAGUGCAUAAAUAAUUCAAUCCACAAGACAUCUUCCUUCAAUUGGUUGAAUAAAUUUUGGCAACGUAUGUUCUUCAAACAUCUUCUUUGUAUAUUUGAUAUGAUGGAG
rnacentral:lncRNA from 1 species